rnacentral:rRNA from 1 species
GAGUUUGAUCGUGGCUCAGAUUGAACGCUGGCGGCAUGCCUUACACAUGCAAGUCGAACGGCAGCACGGGAGCUUGCUCCUGGUGGCGAGUGGCGAACGGGUGAGUAAUGCAUCGGAACGUAUCCUGGAGUGGGGGAUAACGUAGCGAAAGUUACGCUAAUACCGCAUAUUCUGUGAGCAGGAAAGCGGGGGACCUUCGGGCCUCGCGCUCUUGGAGCGGCCGAUGUCGGAUUAGCUAGUUGGUGAGGUAAAGGCUCACCAAGGCGACGAUCCGUAGCAGGUCUGAGAGGAUGAUCUGCCACACUGGAACUGAGACACGGUCCAGACUCCUACGGGAGGCAGCAGUGGGGAAUUUGGACAAUGGGGGCAACCCUGAUCCAGCCAUGCCGCGUGAGUGAAGAAGGCC